rnacentral:rRNA from 1 species
CGAACGCUGGCGGCGCGUUUUAAGCAUGCAAGUCGAACGGUAAUAGAGUGCUUGCACUCUAUGAGAGUGGCGGACGGGUGAGUAACACGUAGAUAAUCUGCCCUUGGAUUGGGGAUAGCAUAUGGAAACAUAUGGUAAUACCGAAUAAGCUCCUAACUACUAAAGUAGAAUGGAGGAAAGGUGCUUAGGCACCGUCCGGGGAUGAGUCUGCGGCUCAUUAGCUAGUUGGUGGGGUAAAGGCCUACCAAGGCAAUGAUGAGUAGCCGGCCUGAGAGGGUGGACGGCCACACUGGGACUGAGACACGGCCCAGACUCCUACGGGAGGCAGCAGCUAAGAAUCUUCCGCAAUGGGGGAAACCCUGACGGAGCGACGCCGCGUGAACGAAGAAGGCGGAAACGUUGUAAAGUUCUUUUCUUGAGGAGGAAUAAGCAUAGCAGGUAAUGGCUGUGUGAUGACGUUAAUCAAGGAAUAAGCCCCGGCUAAUUAC